GGAUAGUACUUUACUUAACAUGGGAUUUUCAUGGGGUAUUAUGCUAUUUCCUAAAAUUUAGUUAAUUUUCUAGUGAAGUGAAGAUCCAAUUACUUCUUUCUUGGGAGUUCUGAGGUGCCGAAUUGAAUAUACUGGACUUGCAGCCAAAUUUUCAUGAGUUGUUUUUAUAUUGUAUGAUCUCAAGCAUUCUAGCUUGAAACGGUUACAGAAAAUAAGUGCUGUAAAUACUAGUUUAUUAAACUGCAUUUAGACAUUAAGGUAUCUGAAUUUAUAUUUAGCAAUUUGUACAAAGAUCCAACAAGGAUCAGAUGACCAAUGAUAGAAGAUGAACAUGGGAUGUUUAGGAGGUGGCUUGAAGUCAGAAAAAGGGAGGGAUCAGGGAGGAGUGUUGGGGAGCAACUCUGUGAAGAUAGGAAAAGAUAAUAAAUGAGCCUGGUGACAUGAAAGCAGGUGCUGCUUGGCUAGCAUGUGUCCGAGUCCUGGGCUUCCUCACUGCAGUCUGUUCUAUGUUCCUGUUAAAUCCUACUUCUAACUCUCUCUCACAUGUGUGCGUGUGUGUGUCUGUGUCUCUGUGUGGGUCUGUGUGUCUGUGUGUUCAGCCUCCCUGUUCCCUGUCGAGAAGGAACUGAAAUAGCCUCACAUGAACAUGCCUGGGACAGAAGAACUCUCACAGGUCCUGCAGUCUACCAAAUUCACCUACCUUAGGCUGUGUUAUACUUGCUCUGAAAUAUCAUCACCAUCAGAAUAUGGGCAUGGUCUGGAAACCUACAAAUGUAAGAAGAUAUGUUCCCUCUUCUCUCUUUGGACAGGGACCACACAAUGGGUGAUACCACAAAUGCUGCAUGAUGGACUAUACUAUGUACUAAAGUUAAUGGAUUUUAUGAGCAUGACAAUGUUACAUUUAUUUGAGCACUUUCAAUGAACAAGUUAAUUCUUAACUCAUUUGUCAGCUAUCUAAUUUCUGGCAAUCUCCUGAGCAAGCUACUUUAGUGGAUUUAAUACAUUUGUAAAACAAAUCAAUCAUAGAUUGGGCAUAGAAAUUUGGCUACAUUUAUAAUGACAAGUGGCCAUUGAAGAUGGCCUACGCACUGAUUCUGUGGUAAUGCCUGCUAAAUCUAUAGAGCUUGUUAAUGUUUGACAAGUUACUUUAUGUACUUAUGGUUUAGUGUUUAAUGAUGAUUAAUCCCAUAGUAAAAGAGUAGUCUCAGUUUUUGACGGUUAUUGCAGAACAUGUGGAAAAUAAAAAAUGUCAAGUAAAAUGUUCA
rnacentral:lncRNA from 1 species